UACAGAGGCUCCGAGCAUUACCCGGAAUCAUUGGGCGUAAAGAGUGCGUAGGUGGUCAUAUUAGUCGUUCGUUAAAACCCGGGGCCCAACCCCGGAGCUGCGAGCGAAACGGUAUGACUCGAGGGUGUGAGAGGUGCAUGGAACUCAUGGUGUAGGGGUGAAAUCCGUUGAUAUCAUGGGGAACACCGAAAGCGAAGGCAGUGCACUGGCGCAUUCCUGACACUCAAGCACGAAAGCGUGGGUAGCGAACGGG
rnacentral:rRNA from 1 species